rnacentral:rRNA from 1 species
CACGUAGGGGACGAGCGUUGUCCGGAUUCAUUGGGCGUAAAGCGCGCGUAGGCGGCUCGGAAAGUCGGUCGUGAAAUGCCGGGGCUCAACCCCGGGACUGCGUCCGAUACUCCCGAGCUGGAGGCAGGUAGGGGAGAUCGGAAUUCCUGGUGUAGCGGUGAAAUGCGCAGAUAUCAGGAGGAACACCGGUGGCGAAGGCGGCAUCCUGGACCAAUAUUGACGCUGAGGUGCGAAAGCGUGGGGAGCAAACAGG